ACUACCUCUAUAGGCAUUGCAGGUGUGGCUGCUGUGUCACAUGUGCUUCAGUAGGUAGCAGACAGGAAAAAAGGUAUGUCCACACUUAGUGCUCUGAGGAGAGCAACAGUCUAGUACAAGGGUGCCUAAACAGAUAACUACCCUGAGACA
ensembl:snoRNA Gm24677 predicted gene, 24677